rnacentral:rRNA from 1 species
CCUACGGGUGGCAGCAGUGAGGAAUAUUGGUCAAUGGCCGGAAGGCUGAACCAGCCAAGCCGCGUGAAGGACGAAGGCUUUCGGGUUGUAAACUUCUUUUCUCAGGGACGAAGAAAGUGACGGUACCUGAGGAAUAAGCCACGGCUAACUACGUGCCAGCAGCCGCGGUAAUACGUAGGUGGCAAGCGUUAUCCGGAUUUAUUGGGUGAAAAGGGCGUGUAGGCGGGAGCGCAAGUCAGAUGUGAAAACUCAGGGCUCAACCCUGAGCCUGCAUUUGAAACUGUGUUUCUUGAGUGCUGGAGGGGCAAACGGAAUUCCGGGUGUAGCGGUGAAAUGCG